rnacentral:rRNA from 1 species
AGAUGGCGACCGGCGCACGGGUGAGUAACACGUAUCCAACCUGCCGAUAACUCGGGGAUAGCCUUUCGAAAGAAAGAUUAAUACCCGAUGGUAUAAUCAGACCGCAUGGUUUGAUUAUUAAAGAAUUUCGGUUAUCGAUGGGGAUGCGUUCCAUUAGGCAGUUGGUGAGGUAACGGCUCACCAAACCUUCGAUGGAUAGGGGUUCUGAGAGGAAGGCCCCCCACAUUGGAACUGAGACACGGUCCAA